GCGGGUAUAGUAUAAUUGGUAAAUACACUAUUCGUCCAGAAUAGAAACAUGGGUUCGAAUCCCAUUCACCCGCUCCA
rnacentral:tRNA from 1 species